rnacentral:snRNA from 1 species
AUACAACAAUAUGUAAUAU